ACGAACGCUGGCGGCAUGCCUAAAUACAUGCAAGUCGAACGCUGAAGCACUCUGCUUGCAGAGUGCGGAUGAGUGGCGAACGGGUGAGUAACACGUGGGAAAUCUGCCUAGGAGUGGGGGAUAACAUUCGGAAACGGAUGCUAAUACCGCAUAUCUUUUUGAACCGCAUGGUUCUUAAACGAAAGACGGCUUCGGCUGUCGCUCUUAGAUGAUCCCGCGGCGUAUUAGUUAGUUGGUGGGGUAAAGGCCUACCAAGACCAUGAUACGUAGCCGACCUGAGAGGGUGAUCGGCCACACUGGGACUGAGACACGGCCCAGACUCCUACGGGAGGCAGCAGUAGGGAAUCUUCCACAAUGGGUGAAAACCUGAUGGAGCAAUGCCGCGUGAAUGAAGAAGGUCUUCGGAUCGUAAAGCUCUGUUGUUGGUGAAGAAGGAUAGAGGUAGUAACUGGCCUUUAUUUGACGGUAAUCAACCAGAAAGUCACGGCUAACUACGUG
rnacentral:rRNA from 1 species